AUGCAGGAACUAAUUACAAUAUAGCUGUGAAGUGCUUGUUGUUUCCCCGUUCAAAUAAAAUUUUUUUAUUGUUGUUGUUGUUUUUCAACUAAACUUAUCUGUUUUGUUAUAGGUCAUCCAGCCAGGUACCCUUGAUCUCACAUAG
rnacentral:snoRNA from 1 species